rnacentral:rRNA from 2 species
CGGCGAGUGAAGCGGCAAUAGCUCAAAUUUGAAAGCUGGCCCCUUCGGGGUCCGCGUUGUAAUUUGUAGAGGAUGGUUCGGCGAGGGCUCCCGUCUAAGUCCCUUGGAACAGGGCGUCAUAGAGGGUGAGAAUCCCGUAUGCGAUGGGCUGCCUUAGCCAUGUGAACCUCCUUCGACGAGUCGAGUUGUUUGGGAAUGCAGCUCUAAAUGGGAGGUAAAUUUCUUCUAAAGCUAAAUACCGGCCAGAGACCGAUAGCGCACAAGUAGAGUGAUCGAAAGAUGAAAAGCACUUUGGAAAGAGAGUUAAAAAGUACGUGAAAUUGUUGAAAGGGAAGCGCUUGCAGCCAGACUUGUCCGCAGUUGCUCAGCCUGUCUCCUGACAGGCGCACUCUUCUGCGGCCAGGCCAGCAUCAGUUCGGGCGGUCGGAUAAAGACCCGGGGAAUGUAGCUCCUCUCGGGGAGUGUUAUAGCCCUGGGUGCAAUGCGGCCAGCCUGGACUGAGGAUCUCGCUUCGGCUAGGAUGCUGGCGUAAUGGCUGUAAGCGGCCCGUCUUGAAACACGGACCAAGGAGUCUAACAUCUAUGCGAGUGUUUGGGUGUCAAACCCAUGCGCGUAAUGAAAGUGAACGGAGGUGGGAACCCUCACGGGUGCACCAUCGACCGAUCCUGAUGUCUUCGGAUGGAUUUGAGUAAGAGCAUAGCUGUUGGGACCCGAAAGAUGGUGAACUAUGCCUGAAUAGGGUGAAGCCAGAGGAAACUCUGGUGGAGGCUCGCAGCGGUUCUGACGUGCAAAUCGAUCGUCAAAUUUGGGUAUAGGGGCGAAAGACUAAUCGAACCAUCU